UAAGGCAUCGAGUUUACAUUGGGUAACAUCGGAGAAGCCAUUGGCUUCAUAGCAGAAGCAGGCUGAGGGAACACGGAUGAUUUACUCUGGUGAAUUCCACUGUUUUCUAACUUGGAAGCAUGUUGCAGAUAUUCGGAACCAGAAGGAUUGCAGCUGGAUACAUUUUUACCGUUGUAUAUGUCGUAGAUAUGUAUAGGAACAUUACGCAUCUUACAAAUCUCACAAAAGGUUUGGUAGAUAUUAGGACGUUGCCAAGGAUAUUGCUGCAAUAAGGUUGAAAUUAGUCGCUUUAACCGAUCUGAAUAAGGUGGAAAGGUUGGAAAAGCGUAACUAACAUUCAUAAUAGCAGCAAGCCCUUGAUGUUCAAACGGAGUUGUGUAAUAGCAUAGUUUAUAGAACAAAACCCCUAGCGCCCAGAUA